AAUCAAAUUCUGAAUGGAUUCUU
rnacentral:snRNA from 1 species